AAUCCCUCAUAAAAAAAUCAUUCAUACAUUGUUUGAAUACUGUCACAUACUUAACUUAUUGAUUAUUGAAAGGAAUAAAAAUUGGAACAAUGGAAGAUUUAAAGGAUGUGUAUUUGAGUCCAUUACCGGAAUCGCCGUACGUGAAGCCGUUCAGGUUCAAUUACACGCAGAACGGCAAAGAGAAAACUUGGGAUCUUCUAGAAGUUCAUGACUCCGUUGCCAUCAUAGUAUUUAAUGUAACUAGAAGAGUAAUGAUAUUCGUAAAACAAUUUAGACCAGCCAUUUAUUACAAUUCAAUAAAACCAGAAGAUAGAAAAGCAUCAAAGAUAGACACAAAUAAGUAUCCUGCAUCUCUUGGUGUCGCUUUGGAAAUAUGUGCUGGAAUCAUUGACAAGAAUUUACCCAUAGAGGAAAUUGCCAAGGAGGAGGUGCUUGAAGAGUGUGGCUACAAUGUUGAGCUUUCAAAUUUGGAAAAAGUUAUAGCAUAUAGGUCAGGUGUCGGGGUUCAGGGUGCCUUACAAACAAUGUUUUAUUGUGAGGUCACAGAUGAUAUGAAAACUGAACAGGGUGGCGGCGUUGACGAUGAAAUUAUAGAAGUUAUAGAGAAGACAAUACCUGAAGUGGAAGAGAUGCUUCGUUCACAAGACAUCCUGUCCAGUCCACCGAGCUGUCUUUUUGCUUUAAUGUGGUUUAUACACAAUAAAGCCGAUAAGUUUAGGAAGUAAGUCUUACUAACCAAUGUUAUGUAUUGGUUUUAUAAGACCUGAUUAGCAAAUUAUAUUACAACUGAAAGCUUUCCACAUGUCGAACAUACAAGCCUAUAUAUACAAUACAUGGAAAAGAUGACAAAACAUUUAUCACCAUAUUUCAAUUUCUCUAUAAAAUUAUCAUAGCCUAUAAUAAAUAUUGUCACAAUUGUCAAAAUGUCAUAAACAUGUUAGCGACUUAACAGGUUCACUGUCCACAGACCACAUAUGGUCUGUAGAGAGAUUUCCAUAUCAGUCCACAGAUAUUAUGUGGUAUGUGCGCGCGUACAAUUUCUAAACCAUCUGAUAUUGUAGACGUAACAAGAAAGUCUCAUAUUUAAUGCGGAUUCGGUAGGACACAUCACAAGCAUUAUAAAAACUGCUGGGACAUAGGGAAAUACUGGUUUUUUUUUUUCGAAAGGGUAUAAAAUAAACUGACAACUAAAAAAAAAACAUGUGUCCCCGAGUUAUGAUGCGGGGUAGACCAAAAGGCUUUUUAAAAAGUAACGACAGAGCUACCGUUCAAGGCCGAAGGUGGUUAAAGACUUUUAUUCUUCAUUUUUUUUCCUACCUAAGCUGAUAGCCUUGAGAAGCUAUUUCAGCGUAACCCUAACUAGUAGGUGAGCUCACGGGGCUCAAACCUGACCACGUUGCUAACACGAACCCUAGCAAGAGCCGUGCUUCGCAAAUUCUACCACCGGAUCGGAAACGCGACCCACUGAGAAGAUCCAGCGAGAAACUCAGUGGGCUUGUUUUAUUCAUAAACAUUUUGUGCUUAUAUACUAUAUUACAAACAAGGGCUGUUUAUCUUAUUCUAUUUCUGGGUAUGGAAUACAAGGAAUAUUAUAUUUGUUAUCUCAUCUUAAUUACCAAAGUUAAACAAUGAUGAUGUUAUGAACAUUAUCUGGUUACAAAGAGCUAUUGUGUAAUAGGCUGAUUAUGGCUACGUAACCCCGUCCCCCAAUCCUCCAAGAUGUUGCGUAUUGACAGUUGCUGCUGGAGCCGAUGUUUUUUAACUUGGGGCUGCUGCUGUAUUAGGAGAUGCACCAACCUGGGUUUCCACCAGAACUUGUAAAUGGUUGUUCCAAUUGCUGCUGUUAGUAUUAUGAUGUAUAGAAAUAUUGAUGGCAGCUGGGUGUGCUGGGGAUGAUAAUAGUGUCUGCUUCCGGGAUUUUAAUCAUCUCUGAUUAUUUCAGUGUUCUGUAAUUACUUAUGCUUUACAUAGUCUAGUUUUAUUCUUAUAGGUGAAAUUUGUUUACUACGUUUGUCGAAUAGCUGUUGAAGUGAUGUCUCUAUUUUGUUAUAUUAUAUGGUUAUUAUUUCAUAUUAAUUUUCGAAAUCUUAGUUUUGUUUAGAAAACCUAUUAAUUGCUAUUGCUAUUUCAUUUUGAUUAUUUUUAAUAUUUUUUUAAAUUAAACUCAUAUUCAUUGAUGAAGUCUUGCAUUAUUCUUAUUGUCCUUUUCUGAUAGGAUCUGUCUGUAUUUAUUGGUAGUUUUAAUGCCUUGCUAUCGUUAUUAAAUUUAAUUGUGUCAUUCUGGUCUACGUUUCCUGUGAUUGCUUUUACUAUGGAAUCCAAAUCAUCAAUUAGUUUUUUGCCUAUAUUUUCUCCUAGGUACAUUAACCAACUCUCUAUUGUAUCUAUGAGGUAUUAUAUUUCUUCACGAAAAUGAAUUGUUUCGUUAUAUUUUAGUUUCAUAGUAUAAUUGCUACAUAUUUCUAAAAAAUAUCUCUCAGUAAUGUAGUGUUAUAUAUUACUGCCAGGUGGUAUGUGUCAAUUUGGUAUUGAAAGCUUGCUUUUGUCAGAACGAGUAUUCCGUUGUGGCUGUCUAUUGAUUGUAUUACUGCUGAUGCUGCGACGAGGGUGAUGGCGAUUCUGGAACAUGUUCGGGUAGCCUCAAUAAUCGGAAAUGUACUUUUAACUGUUUUAGCAUUUAUGUGUUUCCAACUAUCUCUGCGACUCGUUCCGGGUGAAUACGCACAAUUGUAUAUGGGCCUAGGUAUUUUGGCUCCAGUUUGUUUGCUCUCGCAAUUUUUGUAACCUGUUAGUAUACAGUGUCGCCUAGUUUGAAUCUUGCCGUUUCGGUUUCUUUGUUGGCCCUGUAUAUAUGGUUUGUUAUUUUACGGCAGAUAAUAUGUUAUUUAUAAAUUUUUGCGUAUUCUCCAUGAUUUGUUUAUGUUUUACAACAUAUUCUUCAUAAAAUUCUUUAGGACAAUGCAACUCUAGUGGGUUUCUGCUGUCUGUUUGUCCAUAUAGGAGUUCAAAAGGUAUGAAUCCGGUUGCGGCAUGAAGUGUUGUUGAGGAUUAUUGUAUGUUUUUCUGGACGUGUUAGGUUGGUUUAGUUGUUCGCGUCUGACUCUUAGUUUAGGCUCUUCCUGUUUUGCUACGGUAAUAGCCUGUUCCAGGUUUUAUACGUUUUUAAUCUGUAUGAGAAUGGCUGUAAUUGGAUUACGUUUGUCUAGGAAUGUUUCCAAUGCCAUUUUCUCGUAGUGCUUAUGUUUUCCGGAUUUUUAGAAAUUAAUACACUCAUAAGCACUCUUACUUUGUCUCCGAACUGAUCUACUGAGUUAUUGUUUCUGGAGACUUGCAUUAGUUCAUGUACAAGUUGUAAUUCGGUUCGAAAUUCACCGAAUUUUCUGUAUAGGGCCUCUUUUAUGUCUGUCCAGGUUUUUGCGCCUGGGCUUUGUGACAAAGCUUCAACAGCUUUAUUAGUUAACUAGCCGUACCCGACCACUUCGCUGGGCAUUUAAAAUUAACAUUAUUAUUUAUUGUCAUUAUUAUUAGGGAGUCCAACACUCAUAUAAAUAUUAGCCAUUGAGUACGUGUAUUUUCUACAUGGAUACCAAGUUUCAAGUCAAUCAGAUGCAUGGUCCAGUAGUUAUAACGGAACAUCCGUAAAAACCACUGUAGAUAUACUAUAUUAUAUUAGUAUAGAUUUGUUUCUGAUUAGGUUAUACAGGGAUCUUCCCUAUUGGUUAUUAAAUUUAGCGCAUUUUCUACACCUUCUAUGUAACAUUCAAGUGUUCUCCUGUUACCAUCGUAACUUGGUAGCAGUUUCGAGAAUGUGGAAGAGUCCAUAGACACUACUGGUUUUUCCUCAAUAAAAGUCUUUUCGUUCUGGGUCCCCUUAUCGUAUGACAUUUUAAUCGUGCGAGCUUAGAGAGCGCUAGACUUGAAAAAUCUGUACAAGUUGUUGUGUAUAAAACAAUGGAUAUUUGUAAACAGUACCUUCACACUAAAAACAUUACAAAGUCGUAUAUGGAGAAUUAAGGAGAAAGGUAAGAAAUCUCGGGAAUUAACAGAGUUAAAUGGUUACCCCACGAGCAUUGCCGAAAUAUAGGCUGGAGAUGAUGGAGAGUCUAACUGCCUCUGCUUAAGUCUUCUCGCCUGUUUUGUUAUAUGCUGCCCGCUGUAGGUUCUUUGUUCGCCGCAUAUUUUUUAUCGAAUUUAUUGUACAAGCCCUGCAAAAUUAUAUACGACUUUCCUACCGUUCAAAGCAGAGAAUGGUUAAAGACUGAUUUUUUUUCCUACAUAAGCUGAUGGUUUUGUGAGACCAUAUAAGCGUCGCCGGGCGCUCAAACCUGAUGUUGUUGUUAACAUUUACACUAGUAGCGCUAGUGCUUCGCAGAAUCUACCACCGGAUCGGAAACGCGACCCACUGAGAAGAUCCGGCGAGAAACUCAGUGGGCUGUGUCUGUGGGUUAAUUUACUCGCCGAGCCCUGCGUCGCAAGCGACGGGUUCGACGAGAACGAUGACCGACAGAUUUAUUCAUAAACAUGCUGUGCUUAUAUACUAUGUUACAAACAAGGGGUGUUUAUCUUAUUCUAUUUCUGGGUAUGGAAUACAAGGAACAUUAUAUUUGUUAUCUAAUCCUAAUUACCAAAGUUAAACAAUGAUGAUGUUAUGAAUGUUAUCUGCUUACAAAGCGCUAUUGUGUAAUAGGCUGAUUAUAUUAUGGCUACAUAACUAGUAUAUAAAUAUUUUAUAACAAAUUGUGGCAUACAUUUUAAUCAUAAAUAAACCGACUUUUAAUAAAAACAUAACUGGACUUAUGGACCAUUCCCACUUUGGACAGUGAAUCUGUUAAUAAAUCUACUAAAAUAUACAAACACACCUGGUUGUUAAUAAAGCGAUGUUCUUUGGAAACAUAAUCAAUGUUACAAUGUUAAAUAGAGUAAAUUUUUCACAUAAUCCGAGCACUGUGUGAAUGAUCGCCUAACUCUCAGAAUAAAUUUCUAUUUAUGGCGGGUAGUUAUCACAGAAUACAAGGUAUUUGACAGAUGCUUGAACUUCACUACGACAUUACAUUAAGCCGCUUUCAGACUACGCUAUAAUAGCAUAUAGUAUAUAGCUCAUAGCACAACAAUAUCGCAUACCAUACGUUCACACUGUGCUGUACUUUAUAUUAUUGGCUUACUAUACGCUGCUAUACUAUAUGGCACUAUAGUAUAGCGUAGUCUGAAAGCAGCUUUACGCACACAAGUUCCGAACAAUAACAUUUUGACCGUCGGUCUACUGAGCAAUAUCACUCGCUCGAUGGAAGAUCUUCCCUUUGUCAUAUACCUCCACAUAUUCAAAUCAGAGUAACAAAAAUAAUAGGAUAUGAAGUUAUGAACUUUGAAUUUGCUAUAUAGUAUACAUAGUAUUAUAUUAGUAUAUUUUUUUAUAGUUAAUUUUUCUUCUAUUAAUCAAAAUAUGCAUCCAAAAGAUGCAUAAAAAAUAUAUGGUAAUAUGGUAAUUUUCAAUGAACCUCUUAAAGUGUGGGAGCUAAUAAUAAUUGAAGAUCAUUGUGCAUAUAAUAUACAAGUUUUGGACAGAAAUAUUACCUGCUCAUAUAAUCUGGUGGAAGAUCUGCUCGUUAUCCUUUCCUAGGAUUAUGUUGUCGUAAUAUUGUUUUAAAUGGUUAUGGUUGGCUCCGGGCUAUUGUGGGUUUCCGGGUGUAAGUCGAUAUGAAAUUAAUAUAUACUUUACUACAGGACAUUCGACCGAACUUGCGGGGAAUGUAAGAAAUCGAACAAAUAACUGCAAUUGUAUGUAUCUGUAUUUUUAUACUAUACUAUCUUUGUAUUUUCUGUGGGCGUAGUGACUCGUAAAUAUAGUGUCAAGGUUUGAUGUAAUAUUAUGUUCCGAACGUUUUUUGGCUGUGUAAACUUUGAAAAGAUAAAAAUCUUAAGCAUUGCA